CCCGCUCCCGCUCGGCCGCCAGCUUCGACUUGAACUCGUAGUCCAUGUCUCGCCCAUAGGGGGUGACGGGGGGUGUGGGGGGCGUGAGGCCGGAUCAGCACCCCCGGCCGGCGGAGCCCCCUCCGGCCGCCGCCAUGAGACAGGCAAGACUGAACAGUCACCUCACAGAGACAAAGGACUUCAGUGUUCAUCAGG